rnacentral:rRNA from 1 species
GUUGAACGCUGGCGGCAUGCUUUACACAUGCAAGUCGAACAGCAGCGGGGAGGAGCUUGCUUCUCUGCCGGCGAGUGGCGAACGGGUGAGUAAUACAUCGGGACGUGUCGAGAAGAGGGGGAUAACCACCCGAAAGGGUGGCUAAUACCGCAUAAAUUCUGAGGAAGAAAGCUGGGGAGCUAGGAAUAGGCCUAGCGCUUUUUGAGCCGCCGAUGUCGGAUGAGCUAGUUGGUGGGGUAAAGGCUCACCAAGGCGACGAUCUGGAGCGGGUCUGAGGGGAUGAUCCGCCACACUGGGACUGAGACACGGCCCAGACUCCGACGGGAGGCAGCAGUUGGGAAUGUUGGACAAUGGGGGCAACCCUGAUCCAGCCAUGCCGCGUGUAUGAAGAAGGCCUUAGGGUUGUAAAGUACUUUUGUUAGGGAAGAAAAGUCAGCUGUGAAUAAUGGCUGAUACUGACGGUACCUAAAUAAUAAGCACCGGCUAACUACGUG